CCUACGGGGGGCUGUAGUGGGGAAUAUUGGACAAUGGGGGGAACCCUGAUCCAGCCAUGCCGCGUGUGUGAAGAAGGCCCUCGGGUUGUAAAGCACUUUCAGUGAGGAAGAACGCCUGGUGGUUAAUACCCAUCAGGAAAGACAUCACUCACAGAAGAAGCACCGGCUAACUCCGUGCCAGCAGCCGCGGUAAUACGGAGGGUGCGAGCGUUAAUCGGAAUUACUGGGCGUAAAGCGCGCGUAGGUGGCUUGAUAAGCCGGUUGUGAAAGCCCCGGGCUCAACCUGGGAACGGCAUCCGGAACUGUCAAGCUAGAGUGCAGGAGAGGAAGGUAGAAUUCCCGGUGUAGCGGUGAAAUGCGUAGAGAUCGGGAGGAAUACCAGUGGCGAAGGCGGCCUUCUGGACUGACACUGACACUGAGGUGCGAAAGCGUGGGUAGCAAACAGGAUUAGAUACCCGAGUAGUC
rnacentral:rRNA from 1 species